GGUAACGCGGGGGCAACCCUGGCGACGAGUGGCGAACGGGUGAGUAAUACAUCGGAACGUGCCCGGUAGUGGGGGAUAGCCCGGCGAAAGCCGGAUUAAUACCGCAUACGACCUACGGGUGAAAGCGGGGGAUCGCAAGACCUCGCGCUAUUGGAGCGGCCGAUGGCAGAUUAGCUUGUUGGUGAGGUAAAAGCUCACCAAGGCGACGAUCUGUAGCUGGUCUGAGAGGACGACCAGCCACACUGGGACUGAGACACGGCCCAGACUCCUACGGGAGGCAGCAGUGGGGAAUUUUGGACAAUGGGCGCAAGCCUGAUCCAGCAAUGCCGCGUGUGUGAUGAAGGCCUUCGGGUUGUAAAGCACUUUUAGUGGGAACGAAACGGUCCGGGCCAAUACCCUGGACUACUGACGGUACCCGCAGAAUAAGCACCGGCUAACUACGUGCCAGCAGCCGCGGUAAUACGUAGGGUGCAAGCGUUAAUCGGAAUUACUGGGCGUAAAGCGUGCGCAGGCGGUUUUGUAAGACCGAUGUGAAAUCCCCGGGCUUAACCUGGGAACUGCAUUGGUGACUGCAAGGCUUGAGUGUGUCAGAGGGAGGUGGAAUUCCGCGUGUAGCAGUGAAAUGCGUAGAUAUGCGGAGGAACACCGAUGGCGAAGGCAGCCUCCUGGGAUAACACUGACGCUCAUGCACGAAAGCGUGGGGA
rnacentral:rRNA from 1 species